GACGAACGCUGGCGGCGUGCCUAAUACAUGCAAGUCGAACGCACAGUUUAUACCGUAGCUUGCUACACCAUAAACUGUGAGUUGCGAACGGGUGAGUAACGCGUAGGUAACCUGCCUGGUAGCGGGUGAUAACUAUUGGAAACGAUAGCUAAUACCGCAUAAUAUUGAUUAUUGCAUGAUAAUUGAUUGAAAGAUGCUAUUGCAUCACUACCAGAUGGACCUGCGUUGUAUUAGCUAGUAGGUGAGGUAACGGCUCACCUAGGCGACGAUACAUAGCCGACCUGAGAGGGUGAUCGGCCACACUGGGACUGAGACACGGCCCAGACUCCUACGGGAGGCAGCAGGAGGGAAUCUUCGGCAAUGGACGAAAGUCUGACCGAGCAACGCCGCGUGAGUGAAGAAGGGUUUCGGAUCGUAAAGCUCUGUUGUAAGAGAAGAACGGGUGUGAGAGUGGAAAGUUCACACUGUGACGGUAUCUUACCAGAAAGGGACGGCUAACUACGUG
rnacentral:rRNA from 1 species